GGCACUAUGGCGGAGUGGUUAUCGCGCAGCCCUGCUAAGGCUGUUCCUUCGGGAGCAUGAGUUCGAAUCUCAUUGGUGUCG